rnacentral:lncRNA from 10 species
AAUCGCUUGAACCCGGAGGUGGAGGUUGCAGUGAGCAGAGAUCACACCACUGCACUCCAGCCCAGGCAACAGAGAGAGACUCCGUCUCAAAAGGAAAAAAAAAAAAAAAAGGCAAUGUCUGUAAAGCACUUAGCUCAGUGCAUGGUAUCCAGGACAUGUCAGUAAGUGAGAUCUCUGCUUAUCAUAAUAGUUCAUUAGUUAUGCUGCCUCAUGGCCCAGUUUGAUAAUCCAUCUUCCCUUUAGAACUGUGGCAUAAGAGUCCAUGUAGGAAGAGCACCCUCUGGCCACUUCAUUUGCUUUUAAAACAAGUCUCAGGGCUGGGCGCAGUAGCUUACACCUGUAAUCCCAUCACUUUAGGAGGCUGAGGCAGGCAGAUCCUCUGAGGUCAGGAGUUCAAGACCAGCCUGGCCAAUAUGGUGAAACCCUGUCUCUACUAAAAAUACAAAAACUAGCAGGGCAUGGUGGUAGGUGCCUGUAAUCCCAGCUACUCGGGAGGCUGAGGCAGGAGAAUCGCAUGAACCCAGGAGGCAGAGACUGCAGUGAGCCAAGAUCGUGCCACUGCCCUCCAGCCUGGGCGACAAAAGCAAGACUCCAUCUCAAAAAAAAGUCUCAUUUACGUAGUGCUUUAUGGUUUAUAGAACACUUUUAAUGAUCUUUAUCCUUUGUGUAAUUCCAGCCUUAGCCAAAUUGACAGAGUGUAAUCUAGCACAGGCUGUGGGUCAAGUCCAGCACCCCCAUGCUAGGUGAGUAAACCAAAAGCUGGAUUAUCUAAGUGACCUGCUAACAGUUGCAUGGCCAGCAAAGCACUUGUUUGUGGAAUAUGACUUAUCUUUAUUCUGUGGACCUCCCCUCUCCCAUUUCAUUCUUAGUAAAGUUACUAAUGGGUAAAGUUCCAACUUUUUUUUUUUACUAAAUUUCAUCCUAUCCCCUUAAGACCAUGUUGGGUACAUGUUGCUUUUAUAUAGAUUUGCAGAGAAUAAAAAAUUACAUUCCUAAGAUACCUCUAAUGUAUGAGAAGCCAUGCCACUUUUUAAUAAAAGGACAAAUUUUUCCAAGAGGAAAGGACUGUAACAUCACCUGAUGUUAAGAUAGGGCCUAGUUAGGUUGGUGCAAAAGUAACUGCGGUUUUUGCCUUUCAACAUAAUGGCAAAACCCACAAUUACUUUUGCACCAAUCUAAUAGGUUGAUUGCCAAGUCUCCUUGCACUUUCCAUCAUCUAUUACCGUUUCAUUCGUACGCUGGGUCUCACAUCUGAUAUCCAACAUGCUCCUCAGAACACUCGUGCUCUUCUUUUGAAGGGAUAUUUUAUGGGAUUAUUCAGAUCUACAGGCCACAAAAGCCAGCAAUCCCAGAAACUCCAGCCACUUUGUUUGAAACAGAGUUUAGGUCUCAGAAGAACUGGAACGCUGCCACGCAAAGGAGUUUUUGAUUGGCUUGUGAUGUGCCACUGGUUCUUUAUUAGAGGGUACAGAGGGCUGAUGAAGUCAACUAUUUGGCAAAUGCUAAAGGCUAGGGCAGGCUCCUAUGCCUCUGCAACAUUGAUUGAUGUCACAUCAUGGGAUCGUAGGCAAUAACAGGGAAUUCAGUUUACCAAGGAACUUCUGGAAGGCUUAGCAACAACACCACCCUUUUUUUGUUCCUUUGUUUUUGCUUUUGUUUUGAGAUGGAGUCUCAUUCUGUCGCCAGGCUGGAGUGCAGUGGUGUGAUCUUGGCUCACUGUAACCUCUGCCUCCCGGAUUUAAACAAUUCUCCUGCCUCAGCCUCCCAAGUAGCUGGGACUACAUGCACGUGCCACCAUGCCCAGCUAAUUUUUGUAUUUUUAGUAGAGACAGCGUUUUACCAUGUUGGCCAGGCUGGUCUCGAUCUCUUGAUCUCGUGGUCUGCCUGC